rnacentral:rRNA from 1 species
UACGGAGGGUGCAAGCGUUGUCCGGAAUCACUGGGCGUAAAGGGCGCGUAGGCGGCUCGGUAAGUAGGGGGGUGAAAUCCUGCGGCUUAACCGCAGGGCUGCCUUCUAAACUGUCGAGCUUGAGCACGGUAGAGGCAGAUGGAAUUCCCGGUGUAGCGGUGGAAUGCGUAGAGAUCGGGAAGAACAUCAGUGGCGAAGGCGGUCUGCUGGGCCGUUGCUGACGCUGAGGCGCGACAGCGGUGGGGAGCAAACAGG